rnacentral:rRNA from 1 species
UACAGAGGGUGCGAGCGUUGUCCGGAAUCACUGGGCGUAAAGGGCGCGUAGGUGGCCCGACAAGUCAGUGGUGAAAGCUCGACGCUCAACGUCGAGUCGGCCACUGAUACUGUUGGGCUGGAGCACUGUAGAGGCAGAUGGAAUUCCGGGUGUAGCGGUGGAAUGCGUAGAGAUCCGGAAGAACACCGGUGGCGAAGGCGGUCUGCUGGGCAGUGCUGGACACUGAGGCGCGACAGCGUGGGGAGCAA